rnacentral:rRNA from 2 species
GAGUUUGAUCUUGGCUCAGGACGAACGCUGGCGGCGUGCCUAAUACAUGCAAGUCGAACGAGCUCUCCCAAAUUGAUUUUAUGCUUGCAUAAAUGAUUUUUGGAUUCGGAGCGAGUGGCGAACUGGUGAGUAACACGUGGGUAACCUGCCCCGAAGCGGGGAAUAACAUUUGGAAACAAGUGCUAAUACCGCAUAAUUAGUUGGAACCGCAUGGUUCCAACUUGAAAGAUGGCUCCGCUAUCACUUUGGGAUGGACCCGCGCCGUAUUAGUUAGUUGGUGAGAUAAAAGCCCACCAAGACGAUGAUACGUAGCCGACCUGAGAGGGUAAUCGGCCACAUUGGGACUGAGACACGGCCCAGACUCCUACGGGAGGCAGCAGUAGGGAAUCUUCCACAAUGGACGAAAGUCUGAUGGAGCAACGCCGCGUGAGUGAUGAAGGUUUUCGGAUCGUAAAACUCUGUUGUUAAAGAAGAACAAGUGUUAGAGUAACUGUUAACACUUUGACGGUAUUUAACCAGAAAGCCACGGCUAACUACGUGCCAGCCGCCGCAGUAAGAC